rnacentral:rRNA from 1 species
UACGAAGGGGGCUAGCGUUGUUCGGAUUUACUGGGCGUAAAGCGCACGUAGGCGGAUCGAUCAGUCAGGGGUGAAAUCCCAGAGCUCAACUCUGGAACUGCCUUUGAUACUGUCGAUCUGGAGUAUGGAAGAGGUGAGUGGAAUUCCGAGUGUAGAGGUGAAAUUCGUAGAUAUUCGGAGGAACACCAGUGGCGAAGGCGGCUCACUGGUCCAUUACUGACGCUGAGGUGCGAAAGCAUGGGGAGCGAACAGG